rfam:Glycine soja cultivar W05 scaffold4894_4, whole genome shotgun sequence.
UUAUGAUUGGACGAUGACUGUCACGUGUCAAGUCCUGAUUGGAUGUUGACUCUAUGACGAUGAAAAUGUAUUGUUGUUGUCAACGUUCAAUCAGAACGUGACAGUCAUUGUCCAAUCAAAAUGUGACAUGUGACAGUCAAUAUUC